UACGUAGGGUGCAAGCGUUAUCCGGAAUUAUUGGGCGUAAAGAGCUCGUAGGCGGUUUGUCGCGUCUGCUGUGAAAACUGGAGGCUCAACCUCCAGCCUGCAGUGGGUACGGGCAGACUAGAGUGCGGUAGGGGAGAUUGGAAUUCCUGGUGUAGCGGUGGAAUGCGCAGAUAUCAGGAGGAACACCGGUGGCGAAGGCAGGUCUCUGGGCCGCAACUGACGCUGGAGGAGCGAAAGCAUGGGGAGCGAACAGG
rnacentral:rRNA from 1 species